UACGAAGGGUGCAAGCGUUGCUCGGAAUCACUGGGCGUAAAGCGUACGCAGGCGGUUCGUUAAGUCGGGUGUGAAAGCCCCGGGCUCAACCCGGGAAGUGCAUUCGAAACUGGCGAGCUAGAGGACAGGAGAGGGGAGCGGAAUUCCUGGUGUAGAGGUGAAAUUCGUAGAUAUCAGGAGGAACAUCGGUGGCGAAAGCGGCUCCCUGGUCUGUUACUGACGCUCAUGUACGAGAGCGUGGGGAGCAAACAGG
rnacentral:rRNA from 1 species